rnacentral:rRNA from 1 species
UACGUAGGGGGCGAGCGUUGUCCGGAAUCAUUGGGCGUAAAGAGCGCGUAGGCGGUCCGGUAAGUCCGCUCUGAAAGUCCGGGGCUCAACCCCGGGAGGCGGGCGGAUACUGUCGGGCUAGAGUCCGGAAGAGGCGAGUGGAAUUCCUGGUGUAGCGGUGAAAUGCGCAGAUAUCGGGAGGAACACCAGUAGCGAAGGCGACACUCUGGGCCGGUACUGACGCUGAGGAGCGAAAGCGUGGGGAGCAAACAGG